GCCUACGGGAGGCAGCAGUGGGGAAUAUUGCACAAUGGGGGAAACCCUGAUGCAGCGACGCCGCGUGAGUGAAGAAGUAUUUCGGUAUGUAAAGCUCUAUCAGCAGGGAAGAAAAUGACGGUACCUGACUAAGAAGCCCCGGCUAACUACGUGCCAGCAGCCGCGGUAAUACGGAGGAUGCGAGCGUUAUCCGGAUUUAUUGGGUUUAAAGGGUGCGUAGGCGGACUGUUAAGUCAGCGGUAAAAGCCCGGGGCUCAACCCCGGCGAGCCGUUGAAACUGGCUGUCUU
rnacentral:rRNA from 1 species